UCCAAAUAUACUCGAUAGGGUUCAAGUC
rnacentral:sRNA from 1 species